rnacentral:rRNA from 1 species
AUCAUGGCUCAGGAUGAACGCUAGCGGCAGGCUUAACACAUGCAAGUCGAGGGGUAUAGUAGCAAUACUAGAGACCGGCGCACGGGUGCGUAACGCGUAUGCAAUCUACCUUUCACAGAGGGAUAGCCCAGAGAAAUUUGGAUUAAUACCUCAUAGUAUAGUACCUUGGCAUCAAGGAAUUAUUAAAGUCACAACGGUGAAAGAUGAGCAUGCGUCCCAUUAGCUAGUUGGUAAGGUAACGGCUUACCAAGGCGACGAUGGGUAGGGGUCCUGAGAGGGAGAUCCCCCACACUGGUACUGAGACACGGACCAGACUCCUACGGGAGGCAGCAGUGAGGAAUAUUGGACAAUGGGCGCAAGCCUGAUCCAGCCAUGCCGCGUGCAGGAUGACGGUCCUAUGGAUUGUAAACUGCUUUUGUACAGGAAGAAACACUCCCUCGUGAGGGAGCUUGACGGUACUGUAAGAAUAAGGAUCGGCUAACUCCGUGCCAGCAGCCGCGGUAAUACGGAGGAUCCAAGCGUUAUCCGGAAUCAUUGGGUUUAAAGGGUCCGUAGGCGGCUUUAUAAGUCAGUGGUGAAAUCUCCCCGCUCAACGGGGAAACGGCCAUUGAUACUGUAAGGCUUGAAUUAUUAGGAAGUAACUAGAAUAUGUAGUGUAGCGGUGAAAUGCUUAGAGAUUACAUGGAAUACCAAUUGCGAAGGCAGGUUACUACUAAUGGAUUGACGCUGAUGGACGAAAGCGUGGGUAGCGAACAGGAUUAGAUACCCUGGUAGUCCACGCCGUAAACGAUGGAUACUAGCUGUUGGGUGCAAACUCAGUGGCUAAGCGAAAGUGAUAAGUAUCCCACCUGGGGAGUACGGUUCGCAAGGAAUGAAACUCAAAUGAAUUGACGGGGGCCCGCACAAGCGGUGGAGCAUGUGGUUUAAUUUCGAUGAUACGCGAAGAACCUUCCAAGGCUUAAAUGUAGAUUGACCGGUUUGGAAACAGAUCUUUCGCAAGACAAUUUACAAGGUGCUGCAUGGUUGUCGUCAGCUCGUGCCGUGAGGUGUCAGGUUAAGUCCUAUAACGAGCGCAACCCCUGUCGUUAGUUGCCAGCGAGUCAUGUCGGGAACUCUAACGAGACUGCCAGUGCAAACUGAGAGGAAGGUGGGGAUGACGUCAAAUCAUCACGGCCCUUACGCCUUGGGCUACACACGUGCUACAAUGGCCGGUACAGAGAGCAGCCACUGGGCGACCAGGAGCGAAUCUACAAAACCGGUCACAGUUCGGAUCGGAGUCUGCAACUCGACUCCGUGAAGCUGGAAUCGCUAGUAAUCGGAUAUCAGCCAUGAUCCGGUGAAUACGUUCCCGGGCCUUGUACACACCGCCCGUCAAGCCAUGGAAGCUGGGGGUGCC